rnacentral:piRNA from 1 species
UAAGAAACGGAGAACAAGGCA